rnacentral:lncRNA from 1 species
AUAAAGGCCACCAGCACUGUUUUCUCUCACAGAAGAUGGGUUCCCAGCACUCACAUGGUGGCUCACAACCAUCUGCAACUCUAGUACCAAGGGAUCUGAUGCCCUCUUCUGACUUCCGAAGCCACGAGGCAUGCACGUGGUGAAUAUUUAUAUAUGCAGAAUGAACUUACACAUACAAGAUAAAAAAUAAAAAUAUGCCUAAACCUGGAAACAAUCCACUGCCAAUCCAAAAAAUGAGUAGUUAAAACUGUAGUCAGUCCAUAAAAUGUUACUACCAACUACUGACAGAGGAGCACAGGUGAUCUUUACUCCAGCUACUCCAGGGGCUGGAGAGAUGACUCAGCAAUUGAGAGCAUUGCUGCUCUUCCUGAGGACCCAGGUCCAAUCCCCAACAAUCAUAUGGCAACUCAGAACCAUCCACAACUCCAGUCCCAGAGGAUCUGAUGCUUUCUGGUCUCCAAUGGUACUGUAUGCACUUAGUGCACAACCAUACAUACAGGCAAAAACCCAUACAUACAAAUAUAUAAUAAAAAAUAACUAAAAUGGAGCUCCCAUGAUUGUGGUGAUACAUUAUUUAUGAUUUAUUAAAGCCACCAGAGAUCAAAAUAGCAAAGCAGGCAUAUUAGUUAGCCAUAGAAGACAAGUAGUAGUGGCACACACCUUUAAUCCCAGGACUCAGGAGACAAAGGUAGAUGUAUCUCUCUGAGUUUAAGUCCAACCAGGGUCAGUCUAAAGAGAAAAGAGAGCUCAUGCCUUUAAUUGCAGGACUCAGGAGAGGUAUUUAAGACAGGUACAGGUUCUCAGAGCUGGCAUUCAUUUUUCAGCCACAUUGAGGAUAGGAAGCAUUCAUUCUCCAGCCACACGGAGGAAAGGAAGGUUGGUUUGGUGAGAGCGCUCAGACAGGGUCCCCUUCAGCCUAAGGUAGAGGUAAGAGCUAGUGACUUGGCUGCUUUGCUCUUCUGAUCUUCAGCUCGAAGCUUGAACCCCAUUGUCUCUGGGCUCUUAUUUUUCAUGCUACAAGUGAUGGCAUAGCAGUGAAGAACAUUUGUUGGGGCUGGAGAGAUGGCUCAGCAGUUAAGAGCACUGACUGUUCUUCCCGAGGUCCUGAGUUCAAUCCCCCACAUGGUGGCUCACAACUGCCUUGAAUGAGAUCUGGUGCCCUCUGCCUGCAUGCAGGCAGGAGACUGUAUACAUAAUAAAUAAAAUCUUAAAAAAAAAAGAACAUUUGUUGUUUUUGUAGAGGGCCUAGGACCAAUUCCCAAUACUCAAAUGGUGGCUCACAAUCAUCUAACUACAGUUCCUGGGGGGCCUGAUGCUCUCUUCUGACCUCUACAGGCACCAAGCACACGUUACACAAAACACAUGUGAUACACAUACAUAUGUGGUAUACAGGCAGGCAAUACAUACAUAAAAUUUAAUAAAAAAAUUAGAGUGACUCCAUGUGAAAGUUGUUUCCUUACACUGAGCAAAGCGGCCCUAUCUCUAGUGUCAGCAGCCACCCAGGCUGCAGAGCUCCUGGGGACACAAUGGAAAUGGCUCUGGUGGUGGUUUCAUGUGCAUGUGUCUCACCGUGUUUAAGUGUGAGCCCUGAAAGAAGCAGAAUAAGAGUAGCUGGGACCAUGAGGUUUGCACUGGUCUCUUCCUGGAAGGAGAUUCUGCAUCCAGAGUGAACAUUCUGUGGAAGGCUUGGAGAGAGGGACUGCUGCUGACAGGGAUUAGCAGCACGAGCAGAGGACGAGCUUGGAUGAGAUGACAGACCUCAGAAGGGAGAUGGUGAGGCUGGGGAGGCGUGGAGGAAGCAGAGUCAAAGUUUCAGGGGUGAUAAAAGAGCACCUGUUGAUGGCUGUGGUCUGUACCCCAGUCAAAGAAGUAUGUGAGGCUAGAGAGCAGAAUCAUCCCGGGUAGCCUUUCCCCACUCCCGACUUUUCCUCUCCCUGUGGUCUCGGCUUUGGCUAGUCAGAAGCUCUGCGCCACUUGGAAAGCUGGAGUUCCAGAAGUCAAGGCCUGCCACUAUUUUCCCUGCCACACAGCUGCCUCAGGUGGCAUCUCUCCCUAGGGAGCUUUGCCUCCCUGGCCUGUCUCAUGAAAUGCAUCUCUGGUCUGGUGCCAGGCUUGCAGAUUCAGUCGCAUCAAACACUUUUGUAAAACUGGUCUGCAGAGCACAGACACAACCUCGGGGGCACUGGCAAUGCUGUUUGGCAGUGCUCUUCUCUAGUUCGGAUGUGCCCAGAACAGCGCCCAUGCAGUGGGGCCACAGCACUGCUUAGCAGAGCCUUGGUGAGAUGUCAGGCUUCAUCAGUGUAAAGAAAGACUGGCUCACAGCUUCAGUUCUCAGCAAUCAUGAGGUGAGAGAGUGGCAGGGCAGCUCACACCUUGGCAGCUAGCAGGGAGGAGAGAGGAAGGGAGGGGAAGAGAAGGGGGGAAGAGGGAGAGAGGAAGAGACACAGACAGAGUACAAGCACUCUUUCUCCCUUUCUCCUCAAACCCCCACCCCCACUUAGUAAACCCUCUCUGAACAAGCCCUUGGGCACACCCAGAGGGGGGUUUAUCUAUCUCGGUGUCUUUCUUUUCUUUUCUUCCUUCCUUCCUUUCUUUUCUUUUGGGACAGUAUUUCUCUGUGUAGCCCUGGCUGUCCUGGAACUCUCUAUGCAGACCAGGCUGGCCUUAAACUCACAGAGAUCUGCUUGCCUCUGCCUCCUGAGUGCUGGGAUUCAAGGCUUGAACUACCACUGCCAGGCAUCUAGGCAUCUUUAAGUAAAAUUAACCAUCAUACUGGUUCUGGGGCUCCUUGAAAGAGUGUUAAAAGAAACAUGGUGGCAAGCGGGCAUAGGGGCAUACUCCUUUAAAUGCAAUACACUUGGGAGGCAGAGCACACCCUAUACUUUCAAAGAAACAUGGCGGAUCAACCCCUGCCCUAGCUGCUUCCACCAUAGCUGACUGAGUACCCUAGAGAAACAACUUAAGGGCUGUUUGGAACCCUGGCUUCAGCUCAUGGCAGGAAGGACACAGUAGAACAGAGCCGUUUACACAUGGCAGUCAACAAGCACAUGCCCACCCCUACUGACAUACUUCCCCCAGCUAGGCCUCAAGUUCCCACAAUCUGGAACACCACCACCACUAGCUGGGGACCUAGAAUUCUACCGCAGGGGCGGUGGGGACAUUUCAAGCCCUGAACCCAUAAAUAGCCCUCUACCCGUGUGGUUCUUUUUGCUAAAUAAAUUAAUUACAGCAAAGCCAUUGGCACCCGCUCUUCUCUAAUAACAGCGGCUUGUUUUCAAGACCUAUAUUGUGGGGAAGCAGAGGGCAUUUAAUAACAAAAUUAGUAAUUCACAAUUUUUACUCAGCAUUUUCAGUUAUACUCCCAAUGGUGUAAAGAACUAUGUUCUAGAAUCUGCCACUUCCAUAUUGUCGACCCGUAACUGGGGGUAUGGUUAAAUCAGUCAGUAAUGGACAACAGCCAUAUAAAUCUGUAUGCUACUAACAUGGAAAGUUCUUCAAGAUGUUUUGUACGUAAUAAGAUACAAAAUAGUAUACCAUUGCUCAUUAUUAUAGUCAUUAGGCUGUGUAUAAAGAAGUAACAUUGGAGUGAUGUGUAGGUGGUGGUCUGAAUGAGAACGGUCCCCCAGUAGGCUCAGAAUGUUUGACUACUGGGUUCCCAGUGAGUGGAACUCUGAGGAUUAGAACCAUUAGGUGUGGCCUUGUUGGAGGAAGUGUGUCAUUGUAGGUUGAAUGCUGAGGUUUCAAAAAUCCGGGUCAAACUCAAUGUCUCUCUCUGCCGAUGGGUCAGGAUGUAUGUGGCUCUCAGCUACUUCUCUAGCAGUCCCCUGCCUGUCCCAUGCUCUCUGCCUUGCUGAUAAUGGAACUGUAAGCCAGCCCCAGUUAAAUGCUUUCUUACUGAGUUGCCAUGGUCAUGGUGUCUCUUCACAGCAAAAGAACAGUAACUAAGACUGCCUCAGACCACUUAGGCUGGCCGGGCAUUGUAGCACAUGCUUGAGCCUCAACACUUGGGAGGCCGAGGUACGAGGACUGCAGGUUGAAAGUCAGCAUGAGAGACACAGUGAGAUUCUACCUCAAAACAAAAUGGAACAUUGAAGACAAUGUUAGCCAGGAGGGUAGGGGACAUCACUUCCCUGCAAGUUUCUGCCUGUCAGCUUUUCUAUAAAGACCCAGUGUUAUUUUCCUUAUUAAUGAAAUUUGGACCAUAAGUUUUUGUGCUGAACACUUAUACUGUUUCAAAUUUAGCCUUCCCAUAAUCACGGACAUGGAUGCUAUUGGCUCUGGAUAAGACUUACAGUUAGCUUGCUCCAUCUCACCCAGCUGGUAUAAAGACAAGGUAAAGAUGACUCACCUCAAACCCUUUCUUCUGUCUCUUUGCUUAGAAGCUUGCUGCUGAGAUGUGGACUAGCUAAGUGGUCCAGUACUGGCACUGGCCUCCACCCAGCAUCACAGUCAACACCCCCACACCUGGCUGUGUGAGCCCCCUGCCCCCGAGACUCCAUGGAGUCUUUGGCACUCUCAUGUUCUCUUUCAGUGCCUUUGCAUCUGAGCAAAUGGGGUGGCGCUUUGGGGGGGAGUGCAGAGCUCCGCGUCUCCCGAGAGACCUGCACUACUUUGCAUCUUAGGGUACUGAUCUUCACCAAUGGCACUGUUCUGGUGCAGUGAAUUCUGGUGAGAGGAAAGCUGACGGAGCACAUCCCAAAGCAAUGCGUGUCCAGCAAAUACUGACAAAACAGAGGAAGGACUCAAACCCAGGAGCAACCCCCAGUGGUGUGACAAGGAAUCCAAUCCAGUCUCUUGUUAGCUGAUUGACCUCAGGUGGGCAUUUAACGUCUCCAGAUCUUGGUAUUUUCAUUUAGAAAAUGCAGAUCAUGGUUACAGCACCUAGAUCAUAGGCAAGAUGAAAUUAGCCCACAUAUAUAAAAUAGGACACUGCCUG